UAAGCGGAGGAAAAGAAACCAACAGGGAUUGCCUCAGUAACGGCGAGUGAAGCGGCAACAGCUCAAAUUUGAAAUCUGGCCCCCCCGGGUCCGAGUUGUAAUUUGCAGAGGAUGCUUUUGGCGCGGUGCCUUCCGAGUUCCCUGGAACGGGACGCCAUAGAGGGUGAGAGCCCCGUACGGUUGGACACCAAGCCUGUGUAAAGCUCCUUCGACGAGUCGAGUAGUUUGGGAAUGCUGCUCAAAAUGGGAGGUAUAUUUCUUCUAAAGCUAAAUACCGGCCAGAGACCGAUAGCGCACAAGUAGAGUGAUCGAAAGAUGAAAAGCACUUUGAAAAGAGGGUUAAACAGCACGUGAAAUUGUUAAAAGGGAAGCGCUUGUGACCAGACUUGCGCCCGGUGAAUCACCCAGCUCUCGCGGCUGGGGCACUUUGCCGGCUCAGGCCAGCAUCAGCUCGCCGUCGGGGACAAAAGCUUCGGGAACGUAGCUCUCUUCGGGGAGUGUUAUAGCCCGCUGCACAAUACCCUUCGGCGGGCUGAGGUACGCGCUCCGCAAGGAUGCUGGCGUAAUGGUCAUCAGCGACCCGUCUUGAAACACGGACCAAGGAGUCAACCUUAUGUGC
rnacentral:rRNA from 1 species